ensembl:lncRNA
GGAAAACAGUCCAAAGAAUUAGUCUGAUCCUGAUAAUAUGAGGUAGAGGGAGACAUUCAAUCAAGGCUGACAAUGGGAUGGAAAUAUGAAAAAUAGAAGAGAGGACAUAGCUUUGCUCUACCCAUUCUUUUGGAAACCUGUUUGAUAAUUCCACUAUUUGCUUCUUCUUCUACCAGUUAAAAAGGUUAUGCUAGCAUAUUGUGGGACACACGUUCCAUGCAUAAUAAUUAUUUAAAAUAUUAUGCUGUUUACAAAAAUGUUCCCACAAUUACAAGAGACAUCAAUGAAAAAAUAAUACCAAAAAAAGGAGAUUUAAAUUUCUUUUCAACUGUUUUAUUUGAGAUUCAGUUUGGUCAUCAGGGGGGUGGGACAAGAGAAAAAUAGCAUUUUAGGGAGAACUUCAGACUAAUUUGGUAUUUUAAAAAUAUUUUCAAACAUUCUUUUGUCCUUUUUUUAAAGACUUGGUCUCAGGACAAGAAUAUUUACACAACAACUGCAUGUUUUAGCAUUUUGUACAUGGAUUAUUUGAAAUUUGAUGGGUGGGACGUAAAAUGUCCUCCAGUUCUAGAAUGACCCAAAUAAAAACAAAAAUGUGAUAAAAUAGUUUACUAAAUAAAGCUACACACUGAAUUGGACUAAACUUAAAUCCAGAAACGAACCAAAAUAGGACUCAGAUGCAAAAACAAGAGUUCAGGAGAGGACAUAAACUACUGCUGCUGCUGCUCAGGUUUCAAUAGAAGAAAUGCUUUUCUUGCAGCCCUGCGAUCGGUCUUGGCCUCCGCUUCAGUUUUUCUUGCCUUGGCAGCAGGUCGACUGUAUGAUGGAUGCUGACGGGCAGCAGACAGACGUCCAUCUGGGAGGCAACAUCGCUGCUGCCUCCACCGCCCACUUCCAGAUCAAUCAAUACCGAGCUAUAGUUAGCAUCAGCAGAAGAAGCCCCGAGGCCUCAGAGGCACGUUGUAGUGGUUCAAACUGUACUUUUCCUGCUUGUAUGGGCCUUUUUUAAACACAUACAUCCUAAAAAUAUCUGCAUGUACAUGGACUUUAAAUCCAGUUCAUCGGAAACGCAAGAUAUCAGACACAUUAUUAGUGUUUUUAACCCUUUGAUGUGUAGACCACAUGAGGAGAUACCCAUUUUCCACUGGAUUUGGGUCACUUUUGACCCAGGUUACGCAUCAAAGGGUUAAAUGAAAAUGCACCUUUUAUGUUGACAGAUAAAUGACUAUCAUCAGCAAGUAGCACAGAGAGCUGGAGGCCUCUUGUGAACAGAUGGCGGCCAUAUUUCCCUCUAAGUGCACUUGGCAGCGUUUGGACACAAUAAUCCAUCUCGGCGAGCGGAGGGACGCCUCGCUGCAGCCCAGAAACAUCCACGGGAGCAGCUCGAUGCUCGCAUUAGCAAAUAAGAUGUAGAAGUCUGUGCCGCUGCUGAAUAUCUGCUGAGAAUUUCUCCCUCCGUCUCCUCCACCCACACAGCUUAUGUCACCUUGAGGCACCUGUUCGCGCCUGCAGUGAAAGAAAGAAGCAGAUCUCACCUCCAUCUGGACUCACGUCAGCGUCGAUCUGUCCUCCAAUAACUCACUAUGGAGCUUCGAAGUCAAACCAAAAAUCCAUGAGUCCUGCAGGAUCCGUGCACAAACGCUGCGAGAAAUACGGAGGAAAUCGGAGCAAAAACACUGAAAGAGCAUUAAGUAGAGCUGGACUGUUUUCUGUUCGGUAGAGAAGAAUCUCUGCAGUUAUUUGUAAAGUUAGAUCGCUCUUUACAUACAGAACUGGAGGACAUUUAGGCUUCAAAAUGUUUGAAAAAUAAACCUUCUCUUUUACAGUUUUCUGCUCCAUAUUCAUCAAUAAUAGGUAAUAAAUUAUCAAAGGCUUGAUUGUCUGAACUUACA